AGCAUCUUGUUAGAAAGGACUCUUUCAGGAAGCCAGAUUUCCUGAAAUCACACCAGUGAGGGCUGCUUUCAUCAAAAUUUGGGUUAAGCAAAAGGGAACGAGGCCUUGGCCACGACAUGAUGAGUUUUCACCAUUUGGAUUAUUCUAGGACAGGUAUCUCAACAGCACAAGUACUCCAGAUGGUGUAGCAGUGGCUGAUGCCAGCAGGAGGAAAAUAUGUGUAGGAACACCCUCAAUGUGAAAAGUGUACUCCACGUGUGUAUUUGAGUCACCCCGGCAGGAUCUGCAGCCGAAGAGAUGGAGACGCACAGUAGAAGUCAAGGACUUGAGGCUGUCUUUGAAGUCUGCAGCAGAGCCCCAGACUGAAGCAGCGAGAUGCAUCUGCUAAUAGAAUUCCUGUCUCAGAGGUGCCCUGCUGCCAUCCAGCAUCCAGCCAGCACUCGGAGUCUGGCUCUAUUGAUAGAUGAAUAAGAUUGAACAUGACACCUGUGUCCAGUGAAUCCCCUGGCACCAUUUAACUAACUCUUAGAGCAGCUGCUUUUGAGAAAUUACCUUCAGUCUUGGGCCCACCCUAGCAGAACAAAAUCAUCACCCUAAGUACUUUUCCAGUUCCAAAUAAAUGAGGAUUUUUGCCCUGCAAGAGGAGAACUGAGCCAUAUUUUAUUUGAAGUCACAUCUGUUGCUUUCUUUUUAUUUCUUUUUAUUUCCUCUGCUGUGGACCUUAGAUCCUAAGUCUCGUGCUAUCACGAUAUCCUUCCAAGGGAUCUUGGCAGCUCCCCUUUGGAGAACUCCAGUGGCUUCUUCUCCUGGCCUGUGGCACAUGGAUGCUCGGGAGUAUUUAUGAGGCUGCUCCCAGUCUACUCUCACCCAGUCCCAUGAGUCUGCACAAAACGACUGGACUUUCUCCAACCACAUCCCCAUAAUCUUCUACCUUUUCAAACCAUUGCUUCUGCUUCUCUGCUCAUUACCUUUUUAAUGAACCGCUAAUUUAUCCAGACUCAGAUCCAAUGUCACCUCCUAGGCAAGUAUUCCCAGGCCUACCAGGCCAAUUGAUGGAUACCUUCUUCCUGCUUCCAGUCUGUACGAGUCUCUGCUGCAGCAUUUAUCGCAAUGCUUUAUUAUACAUCUUAUUUAUCU